rnacentral:rRNA from 1 species
GCGAGUGAACCGGGAAGAGCUCAAAUUUGAAAUCUGGCGUCCUCAGGGCGUCCGAGUUGUAAUCUAUAGAGGCGUUUUCCGUGCCGGACCGUGUCCAAGUCCCUUGGAACAGGGUAUCAAAGAGGGUGACAAUCCCGUACUUGACACGACGACCGGUGCUCUGUGAUACGUCUUCUACGAGUCGAGUUGUUUGGGAAUGCAGCUCAAAAUGGGUGGUGAGUUCCAUCUAAAGCUAAAUAUUGGCGAGAGACCGAUAGCGAACAAGUACCGUGAGGGAAAGAUGAAAAGCACUUUGGAAAGAGAGUUAAACAGUACGUGAAAUUGUUGAAAGGGAAACGAUUGAAGUCAGUCGUGACCGAGAGGCUCAGCCGGUCCUGCCGGUGUAUUCCCCUCGGUCGGGUCAACAUCAGUUUUGUCCGGCGGAUAAGGGCGGGAGGAAGGUGGCACCCUCGGGUGUGUUAUAGCCUCCCGUCGCAUACGUCGGGCGAGACUGAGGAACGCAGCUCGCCUUCAUGGCCGGGGUUCGCCC